GAGAAAACAGAGAGCACAAUGGAUCCAGUUUAGCCGAUAACGGGGAGGUUUCUGAUACAAAAGCGAACGCUAGUCCUGAGGCUGAAGCCAACCAACGUGCACUAUUGGUGGAGUGGUUAAAUAGUAUUCUUCCACAUUUAAAUUUGCCAAUAAAAGCUUCAGAUGAAGAGCUGAAAGCAUGUUUGAUUGAUGGCACUCUUCUACCUCAAAUUUUGAAGAGGCUUAGACUAGUUUCAUAUAAGGAGGUAGGCGAUUUCAAUCAUUCUUCAGUUUCAAGCUAAGAAAAUGUUAGAAGAUUUCUGGAAACUCUGGAUAAAUUAGGAAUUUCUGGAUUUGCAAUGUCA